UACCGGCAGCUCGAGUGAUGGCCGAUCUUAUUGGGCGUAAAGAGCUCGUAGGCGGUUUGUCGCGUCUGCUGUGAAAGCCCGGGGCUCAACCCCGGGUCUGCAGUGGGUACGGGCAGACUAGAGUGCAGUAGGGGAGACUGGAAUUCCUGGUGUAGCGGUGAAAUGCGCAGAUAUCAGGAGGAACACCGAUGGCGAAGGCAGGUCUCUGGGCUGUUACUGACGCUGAGGAGCGAAAGCGUGGGGAGCGAACAGG
rnacentral:misc_RNA from 1 species